rnacentral:rRNA from 1 species
UACGUAGGGUGCAGGCGUUAAUCGGAAUUACUGGGCGUAAAGCGUGCGUAGACGGUUAUGUAAGUCAGAUGUGAAAGCCCCGGGCUCAACCUGGGAAUUGCAUUUGAGACUGCAUAGCUAGGGUGCGGAAGAGGGAAGCGGAAUUUCCGGUGUAGCGGUGAAAUGCGUAGAGAUGUGGAGGAACACCAAUGGCGAAGGCAGCCUUCUGGGCCAACACUGACGCUCAUGCACGAAAGCGUGGGGAGCAAACAGG